rnacentral:rRNA from 1 species
UACGUAGGGCGCAAGCGUUGUCCGGAAUUAUUGGGCGUAAAGAGCUCGUAGGCGGUCUGUUACGUCCGCUGUGAAAACCCAGGGCUUAACCCUGGGCUUGCAGUGGAUACGGGUAGACUAGAGGCAGGUAGGGGAGAAUGGAAUUCCCGGUGUAGCGGUGAAAUGCGCAGAUAUCGGGAGGAACACCGGUGGCGAAGGCGGUUCUCUGGGCCUUACCUGACGCUGAGGCACGAAGGUCAGGGGAGCAAACGGG